rfam:Triticum aestivum genome assembly, contig: Triticum_aestivum_CS42_TGACv1_scaffold_223313_3B
GCUCAGUUGGUAAAGCACAAGGCUCUUAACCUUGUGGACGUGGAUUCAAGUCCCAU